AUUGUUGUCUGCAAACCUUCUCACUGUCUGCCCAAACCACCAGGGAAGAAAUCGAGCUACUUAUUUUGAGCCAUAUGAAGGACUAGGUUUCUACCUUGUGUCACAGUGCUUGUCUAGUGUGCAUGAAGCUGAGGCUCAAUCCCAGUACCAAAGAAGGAAGAAGUGACUUAGGCCUCUGCAUCUUAUAUUGUUGAUGAGCUCUCUCAUACGGACUUUAAAAUCCAUCGUCUUCACAUUAGCUCCACCUUAAGUAACAUUGUAUUUUCCAUCUGUACAAAGAACACAUUUCAUCAAAAGGAAAGAGACUGUUCUUUCAAGUUCCAGUAGGUGGCGAAAGGAGCUACUUGUUCUACAUCUGCUGGCCAAGAAAGCUUAUCCAGGUUCCUACUAUGUGUAAAGUGUCCAGCGGGGUAUCCUGGGGUUACAAGAAAUUAGUGAAGUCUCUUUCCUAGAAGAGCCCCAAGAUUGACAGGAGAAGACAAAGAAGUAUGCGGAUUAUUCCAGUACACAUUGAGGCCUUACAUCACUGCUGAGUCAUCAAAGAGGACAGUGACUAUGAAGGACAUCUUUGUAGCCCACCGGGACAGCUGUGCUCAAGCCAUGGCAGAGGGCCAGCACUCAAGAGUAGCUGGCUGGAAGCAUCAACAUGGAGGAUGCCAUCUCAUGGCUCAGAGGCUCCUUGCUCUGAAUACCCAUGUUCAUGUAAGCACCUGGGUUCCUGUAGAAUGCAUCCAAGGGGAGGGAAAAUCCCCAGCAUGGCCAAUUUCUACU